AUUGAACGCUGGCGGCAUGCCUUACACAUGCAAGUCGAACGGCAGCGGGGGAGAAGCUUGCUUUUCCUGCCGGCGAGUGGCGAACGGGUGAGUAAUACAUCGGAACGUGCCCUGUAGUGGGGGAUAACUAGUCGAAAGAUUAGCUAAUACCGCAUACGACCUGAGGGUGAAAGUGGGGGACCGCAAGGCCUCAUGCUAUAGGAGCGGCCGAUGUCUGAUUAGCUAGUUGGUGGGGUCAAGGCCUACCAAGGCGACGAUCAGUAGCUGGUCUGAGAGGACGAUCAGCCACACUGGGACUGAGACACGGCCCAGACUCCUACGGGAGGCAGCAGUGGGGAAUUUUGGACGAUGGGCGAAAGCCUGAUCCAGCAAUGCCGCGUGUGUGAAGAAGGCCUUCGGGUUGUAAAGCACUUUUGUCCGGAAAGAAAUGGCUCUGGUUAAUACCUGGGGUCGAUGACGGUACCGGAAGAAUAAGGACCGGCUAACUACGUGCCAGCCGCCGCAGUAA
rnacentral:rRNA from 1 species